UACGUAGGGGGCAAGCGUUGUCCGGAAUCAUUGGGCGUAAAGAGCGUGUAGGCGGUCCGGUAAGUCGGCUGUGAAAGUCCAAGGCUCAACCUUGGGAUGCCGGUCGAUACUGCCGGACUAGAGUUCGGAAGAGGCGAGUGGAAUUCCCGGUGUAGCGGUGAAAUGCGCAGAUAUCGGGAGGAACACCGAUGGCGAAGGCAGCUCGCUGGGACGUUACUGACGCUGAGACGCGAAAGCGUGGGGAGCAAACAGG
rnacentral:rRNA from 1 species